UACGUAGGGUGCGAGCGUUAUUCGGAAUUACUGGGCGUAAAGCGUGCGCAGGCGGUCUGUUAUGUCUGAUGUGAAAGCCCCGGGCUCAACCUGGGAAUGGCAUUGGAAACUGGCAGGCUCGAGUUUGGCAGAGGGGGGUGGAAUUCCGCGUGUAGCAGUGAAAUGCGUAGAGAUGCGGAGGAACACCGAUGGCGAAGGCAGCCCCCUGGGCUAAGACUGACGCUCAGGCACGAAAGCGUGGGGAGCAAACAGG
rnacentral:rRNA from 1 species